rnacentral:misc_RNA from 1 species
GCUCCGUAGGUGAACCUGCGGAGGGAUCAUUACAGAGUUCAUGCCCUACCGGGUAGAUCUCCCACCCUAUGUUAUUAUUACUUUGUUGCUUUGGCGGGCCGUUAGGCUCCGGCCCGACUACCGGCCCCGGCUGGUAAGCGCCCGCCAGAGGACCCAAAUCCCUGAAUAUUAGUGUCGUCUGAGUACUAUAUAAUAGUUAAAACUUUCAACAACGGAUCUCUUGGUUCUGACAUCGAUGAAGAACGCAGC